GGUAGCCUAGUGGUUAGAGCAGGUAGCCUAGUGGUUAGAGACAGGUAGCCUAGUGGUUAGAGACAGGUAGCCUAGUGGUUAGAGACAGGUAGCCUAGUGGUUAGAGACAGGUAGCCUAGUGGUUAGAGACAGGUAGCCUAGUGGUUAGAGACAGGUAGCCUAGUGGUUAGAGACAGGUAGCCUAGUGGUUAGAGCAGGUAGCCUAGUGGUUAGAGACAGGUAGCCUAGUGGUUAGAGACAGGUAGCCUAGUGGUUAGAGACAGGUAGCCUAGUGGUUAGAGACAGGUAGCCUAGUGGUUAGAGACAGGUAGCCUAGUGGUUAGAG